rnacentral:rRNA from 1 species
GGGCCUCUUUUAUUAGUACUACACUGCGUGAGCGGACGAAAACAACAACACCUAAAAUGUGGAAUAUAGCAUAUAGUCGACAAGAGAAAUCUACGAAAAACAAACAAAACUUUCAACAACGGAUCUCUUGGUUCUCGCAUCGAUGAAGAGCGCAGCGAAAUGCGAUACCUAGUGUGAAUUGCAGCCAUCGUGAAUCAUCGAGUUCUUGAACGCACAUUGCGCCCCUCGGCAUUCCGGGGGGCAUGCCUGUUUGAGCGUCGUUUCCAUCUUGCGCGUGCGCAGAGUUGGGGGAGCGGAGCGGACGACGUGUAAAGAGCGUCGGAGCUGCGACUCGCCUGAAAGGGAGCGAAGCUGGCCGAGCGAACUAGACUUUUUUUCAGGGACGCUUGGCGGCCGAGAGCGAGUGUUGCGAGACAACAAAAAGCUCGACCUCAAAUCAGGUAGGAAUACCCGCUGAACUUAAGCAUAUCAAAAGGCCGGAGGAA